UACAGAGGUCCCCGAGCGUUGUUCGGAUUCAUUGGGCGUAAAGGGUGCGUAGGCGGCGGGGCAAGUCUGAUGUGAAAUCCCGGGGCUCAACCCCCGGAACUGCAUUGGAUACUGCUUUGCUCGAGUACUGGAGAGGGAACUGGAAUUUACGGUGUAGCAGUGAAAUGCGUAGAUAUCGAGAGGAACACCUGCGGCGAAGGCGGGUUGCUGGGCUGAUACUGACGCUGAGGCGCGAAAGCCAGGGGAGCGAACGGG
rnacentral:rRNA from 1 species